AGGGCGUUUGGUGGAUGCCUUGGCAGUAAGAGGCGAUGAAGGACGUGAUACUCUGCGAUAAGCGUAGGUUAGCCGAGAAUAGGCUUUGACCCUGCGAUUUCCGAAUGGGGGAACCCACUUGACAGUUAUUUAUUGUUACCUUUGGUGAUCAAUAAGUGGCUGAACCAAGUACUUCUUACCUGAAUAAAAUAGGGUUUGAAGAGCAAACCCGGGGAACUGAAACAUCUAAGUACCCGGAGGAAAGGACAUCAAUAGAGACUCCGUUAGUAGCGGCGAGCGAACGCGGACCAGCCGAGCCAUGAUUGUGAUCAGAACACAUUGGAAAAUGUGGCCAUAGUGGGUGACAGCCCCGUACGAGAAGCAAGAUUGGACGUAUUAAGUAGGGCGGGACACGUGAAAUCCUGUUUGAAGAUCGGGGGACCACCCCCGAAGGCUAAGUACUCCUUACUGACCGAUAGCGAACCAGUACCGUGAGGGAAAGGUGAAAAGCACCCCGACGAGGGGAGUGAAACAGUACCUGAAACCGAACGCCUACAAUCAGUUGGAGCAUCCUUGCGAUGUGACAGCGUACCUUUUGUAUAAUGGGUCAUCGACUUGGUCUAUCUAGCAAGCUUAAGCCGUUAGGUGUAGGCGCAGCGAAAGCGAGUCUUAAUAGGGCGCAUGAGUUAGAUGGAUCAGACCCGAAACCGAGUGAUCUAGGCAUGACCAGGAUGAAGAUAAGGUAACACUUAUUGGAGGUCCGAACCCACACCUGUUGAAAAAGGUCGGGAUGAGUUGUGCCUAGGGGUGAAAGGCCAAUCAAACUCGGAGAUAGCUGGUUCUCCGCGAAAUCUAUUUAGGUAGAGCGUCAUCCGAAUACCCCGGGGGGUAGAGCACUGGAUGGGUAAUGGGGCCCCACAGGCUUACUGAUCCUAACCAAACUCCGAAUACCCGGGAGUACUAGAUGGCAGACACACUGCGGGUGCUAACGCCCGUAGUGGAGAGGGAAACAACCCUGACCGACAGUUAAGGCCCCCAAUUCAUGGCUAAGUGGGAAAGCAGGUGGGACGACCAAAACAACCAGGAGGUUGGCUUAGAAGCAGCCAUCCUUUAAAGAUAGCGUAACAGCUCACUGGUCUAAAUAAGUUGUCCUGCGGCGAAGAUGUAACGGGGCUCAAGCCAUGAGCCGAAACUUCGGACGCGAGUAAUCGCGUGGUAGCGGAGCGUAGUGUGAAAUAGCACCACGCCUCUUUAGCAAUUCUUUUGAAUUGCCUUGGAGGCUUAGGUGCUUUCUGUGAAGCCGGGCUGUAAGGCAUCCGGUGGAGAGAUCACUAGUGAGAAUGAUGACAUGAGUAGCGACAAAGAGUGUGAGAGACACUCUCGCCGAAAGUCCAAGGGUUCCUGCUUAAAGCUAAUCUGAGCAGGGUAAGCCGGCCCCUAAGUCGAGGCAGAAAUGCGUAGACGAUGGGAACCAGGUUAAUAUUCCUGGGCCAGGAGGAUGUGACGGAUCAUGAAGGUUGUUCACCCUUAUUGGAUUGGGUGGGCCGCUAAUUGGUUCCUGGAAAUAGCCCUCCAUUAGACCGUACCCUAAACCGACACAGGUGGACUGGUAGAGCAUACCAAGGCGCUUGAGAGAACUAUGUUGAAGGAACUCGGCAAAAUACCUCCGUAAGUUCGCGAGAAGGAGGCCCGGUUCCUAGGCAACUAGGGGCUGGGGGCACAAACCAGGGGGUGGCGACUGUUUACUAAAAACACAGGGCUCUGCGAAGUCGCAAGACGACGUAUAGGGUCUGACGCCUGCCCGGUGCCUGAAGGUUAAAAGGAGGGGUGAGAGCUCUGAAUUGAAGCCCAGGUAAACGGCGGCCGUAACUAUAACGGUCCUAAGGUAGCGAAAUUCCUUGUCGGGUAAGUUCCGACCUGCACGAAUGGCGUAACGACUUCCCCGCUGUCUCCAACAUAGACUCAGCGAAAUUGAAUUGCCUGUCAAGAUGCAGGCUUCCCGCGGUUAGACGGAAAGACCCCGUGCACCUUUACUACAGCUUCGCACUGGCAUCAGGCACAACAUGUGCAGGAUAGGUGGUGGGCUUUGAAGCAGAAACGCCAGUUUCUGUGGAGCCUCCCUUGAGAUACCACCCUUGUUCUGCUUGAUGUCUAACCGCGGUCCGUUAUCCGGAUCCGGGACCCUGCGUGGCGGGUAGUUUGACUGGGGCGGUCGCCUCCCAAAGAGUAACGGAGGCGCGC
rnacentral:rRNA from 1 species